UCACAAUGAUGAAACCGUCCAAACAUUCACAGUUUCCCCCAGAACUCGCCUUGUGCUGGUGCACUAGCUUCGUGCUCAGAUGUCUAAGUGA
rnacentral:snoRNA from 1 species